rnacentral:rRNA from 1 species
AGAAUCAACGCUGGCGGCGUGCCUAACACAUGCAAGUCGCACGAGAAAGGGGAGCAAUCCCUGAGUACAGUGGCGCACGGGUGAGUAACACGUGAAUAAUCUACCUCCGAGUGGGGAAUAACUGAGAGAAAUCUUAGCUAAUACCGCAUAAUACCCACGGGUCAAAGCAGCAAUGCGCUUGGAGAGGAGUUCGCGGCAGAUUAGUUAGUUGGCGGGGUAAUGGCCCACCAAGACGAUGAUCUGUAUCCGGCCUGAGAGGGGCGCGACGGAACGACGACUGGAACGUGAAACACGGUCCAGACUCCUACGGGAGGCAGCAGUGGGGAAUUUUGCGCAAUGGGGGAAACCCUGACGCAGCAACGCCGCGUGGAGGAUGAAGCCCCUUGGGGUGUAAACUCCUUUCGAUCGGGAAGAUAAUGACGGUACCGAUAUAAGAAGCCCCGGCUAACUUCGUGCCAGCAGCCGC